UACGGAGGGGGCUAGCGUUGUUCGGAAUUACUGGGCGUAAAGCGCACGUAGGCGGCUUUGUAAGUUAGAGGUGAAGGCCCAGGGCUUAACCCUGGAAUUGCCUUUAAGACUGCAUCGCUAGAAUCGUGGAGAGGUGAGUGGAAUUCCGAGUGUAGAGGUGAAAUUCGUAGAUAUUCGCAAGAACACCGGUGGCGAAGGCGGCGACCUGGUCCUUGACUGACGCUGAGGCGCGAAAGCGUGGGGAGCAAACAGG
rnacentral:rRNA from 1 species